rnacentral:tRNA from 1 species
GAUCUCUUGGCCUAGUGGUUAAGGGGGAGGUGGGAAGCUUUGCUUCUCUUGGUGGUCCUGGGUUCAAGUCCAGGCAAAGGGGUUU